UAAAUAUUAUUAACCUUAUAAUAUAAACAUAAUUUCAUUUCUAUCUGCGUUUCGAGGAUUUAUUAUUAAUUGUUCGCCCAAAUAUUCUGUUCAUCCUCACGUUUACUACUUAAUUGGAUUUAAUUAUUCACGAUUAUUCUGCCUGGAUUUAUAUAUAUAUAUAUAUAUAUAUAUAUAUAUAGAAAACGAACGGAAACAACAUAAACACUUCAGUUACUAUUUUCACCUAAACAGCUCGUUCCAUUAAAAUCCUGUAUGCUUUCAACAUCGAUCUCUUCAGCGACUGCUUAAUAUUUCUACAAAUUUAAUACAGCAAAACUACUGCCUUCUUCGUUUUUUUUUUUGUCUAUUUUUUUUACAACUAAACUAGAGUUAAAUAAAAUAA